rnacentral:lncRNA from 1 species
CAAGAAGCAAGCAAGUGCACUCAUCUGCACUAGGUAAGCAAUCACCAUUUAAACAUCAAAACCUUGUGGUUCCAAUCAAAUGCAUACUUAAAGUCUAAGGUCCCAACCUGUCUGCCACAGAAGAUAAUGAUCAUAAUUGUAAAUUUACAUAUGAAAAAAAAUGCAUUGAACCCCAUCCCUAAAGUUCCAAAAUCAGCAAAAUAGAAGAUACUAACGGAAUACACAACAGUGAAUAAACACAAGCUUAAAUAAAAACAUAUAACAAAUAACAUUGACAGCUUAUCUCUGCUAUUACUUUUUCACAUAAACAGACUAUGCAAUUUCAAUUUGAAGGGUUUGAGGACAGUAGGUAUGACAGAAUAUAAAUAGAAUGAGGAGCAAGAGUGAAACGUAACCAAACAUUUAAAGCAAAACAAAAAGAAACAUCAUACCCUAAUCAGCCAUACAAGUUGCUCCAACACUUGUUAAUGGCUGCUUGAAUCCUUUUAGGUCUGCAAAGUUCUUGAACAACUCUUUCCCAAGUAGAGGUUUGAGGGGACAAAAACUUUUGCAGCAUCACUUCUACAAUCUUGAAACCACCCGAAGUUCGCUGUCGCUUAAAUAGUCGGAUUGCAAGUUCAUUCAAAAAAUCUGUUCCAUCUUGAGGUGCUUCAAGCUUCUCUUUUAAGGCUGUCAAAAAUAUAUUGCAUGUAACCAAGUCAGGAUCACAGCCCCGAUCCAUCAUGCUAUUUAAGAGAUCAAUGGAAUGAGAGAUGUUGCUUUGCUUGCACAAAGCAUUCAACAGUAUGUUAUAAGUGAAAACAUCAGGCUGAGACUUUGGCUCUAGGCAAAGCAUCUCAUUGAAAAGUUUCAAAGCUUCUUCUACCGACCCAGCAUUGCAGAGGCCGUGAAUCAUUGAACUAUAAGCCACAACAUCAGGUUUACAUCCUCUGCUCAGCAUUUGCGUCCACACCAUCCUAGCCUCUCGGAGCUUCCCAUCCUCACAAAGACCAUGAAUAAGCACACUGUAGCAAACCUCGUUGUAUACACAGUUAUUCUUUGCCAUGUCUUUCCAAAUUUCAACCGCCUUAUGACCUUUACCGCUCUCAAAGAAACCUUUCAUCAAGGAGCUAUAAGUAAAAGCAUUGGCUGCACAACCGUUAUUUAUCAUUUCAAAGAGAAUUUCUUCAGCUUCAUCUGGCUUGCCCACUCGACACAACCCGUCUAUAAGAGCACUGUAAACCACAGUGUUUGGCUUACAACCUUUUUCCAUCAUUUGCUUCCACAGUUUCAUUGCAUCUUCAGCCUUCCCCUCCUUAAAUAACCCACUAAUAAGAGUUGAAUAAAUGUACUCAUUCACAUGGAAUUUUCUUUCCUCCAUAGACAUCAACACACGAGCCCCAUCAACAGCUCUACCUAGCUUCACUAACCCAUUAAUGAUUGUCCCAUAUGUAACCUCAUUAGGCAUGCAUUUACUUGCUACCAUCCGAUCCAGGAGACUGACCGCCUUAUCCAAAUUCCCUUUAAGACACAAACCAUGAAUGAGCGUGUUAUAUGUAACCUCAUUAGGUAAACACCCUUUAAGAAACAUAUUAUCCACAAGCUUGGCCGCCCGUCCCAGUUCGCCAUUCUUGCACAACCCAUUAAUCAAAACAUUAAAUGUAACUGGAGUAGGAAAACAACCAUCAACUUGCAUUUCAUCUAAUAGCAAAACUGCCUCAUCAAGUCUGUUUUCUUUGCACAAUCCAUCCAUCAACGUACAGUAAGUAUAAAUAUCUGGUUCACAAUUCCUUACUGGCAUCUCUCUAAACAACUGAAUUGCAUUAUCAACCAAACCCAAUCUACACACUGUCUUGAUAACCAAAUUGAAAGUCAACGUAUUCGGCAAGAUAUUCAUGUGUUUGGCAUUAACAAUAUGAUUAUAAAACUCUAGAGCUCGAUGAUAUAGACCCUCUUGUAUGAUAACAUUAAGAACCGAAUUAAACGACUUAACAGUUCUUUUACAAUGAAACUCAUCAACCAUUGUAUGAAACAAACGAAUAGCUUCCUCGACUAAAUGGGCUUUACCAUAAGCCUUAAAUAUAAAAAUAAAACUCUUCUCUAAAACCACCCUCUUUUCGCGCCUCAUUCGAUACAGAACCAUCUCCAAAGACUUGAAAUCACCAGAAUUCGCAUAGUGUUGAAUGAGUGAAUAAAAUGUUGAAUCACCUAGCUGGUAAGAACCCAGUUUUGGAGUGGAGUUAAAUAUUUCAUCCGAGAAUGGUUGCUCUGAUUUGGCGUUGCCUUGGGGUUCAGUUUCCAUUUGUUUAUUUGAUGAAACUGCACUGCGAACAGAAAAGAAUCGAUGAGAACGCUCACUUGGGAUUGUUGUUAAAGAGAGUGUCUUCAUCUUCAUGGCCGAGUUGGUGAUGGUGAGAAGGAUUUUUGUGUGAGGAAGCGACCAUUUGCGCAUGGGUUCAACAGGGUUUCUGUUUUCUCAGGUUUCAAAGAGGAAUUCGAGAACUCGACAAACGAAAAGGGUCUUUAAUGGGUUUUGUUUUGUCACCUUGGAUGGAAGUUGGGCGAUAGAGACUCUUUCUUUUCUUUCAGAAAUUCGAUUAUGCCCCGCUACGUUUGCAGUUUGCUCAUAUUAAGCCAAAAGGCACAAGAAUUGAGGAAAAAUACUAUCAGAAAAAUAUUACAUUACCAAUAAUCCAGUAAAUAUUACAUCAGUUCACUUAAAUAUUACAUUACAUUACCAGAAAAAUACUAUCAGAAAAAUAUUACAUUACCAAUUACUAUUACAUUACCAAUAAUCCAGUAUACCAUAUACAGACAAAUACUAUCAGAAAAAUAAUUGAGGAAAAAGUGUUGUAAAUCUUAAUCCAUAAUUGCUAUCGGAUGAAAAUGAUAGUGAGGUAAAGUGUGAAUAUUUAGCUACCGUUUUAAUUGCUAUCCAUGUUUGACAAUCAGUUUGAAAGUUUAAGUUGAAGCACAAAAGUCCUAAGAGUAUCACCAAAAAUCUCUUUAAAUAAGAUUUUAUUACUUAUUUUAAGAGUCACAUCAAUAUUUAAACUUAUAAAAAACACUCUAAUUAAAAUUCUUCAAAUAAGAAAUUAUUACCUCUCUUCAAAUUUAGAGAGUUGAUUUGUCCCUUUUUAAUUUAUAUUUUAUUACUUUUUAUUAAAAAAAGAGAGAGAAGUGUUUUAAUUGCUAUUGAUUUUUUUCUUAAAAAAGAUAAUUAUUUGAUUAAAAUAAUAUUAAUUUAUUUUUAUUUGAAGAGUAUUUUAGAGAAUAUCAUAUUUUUUCACCCUUCUAUUUGACACAUAGGUAAGUAAAUAAAUAUUUGAAGAGUAAAAUUUAUAAAGAUUUUUGAAGAUACUCUAACAUAUCUUAUUAGACGUAUAUCUUUUCUACUGUUCCACGUAUAAUGGUGAUCUUUUAUGAAAGUUUGAAAACCGUGUCAUGCGUAGAGGUUGUUGUAAGCCAAUCAAAAUAAAACCGAACCUUGCCAUGGUCUAGCAAGCAAGCGGUUUCUUAUUGCAUUAGACUUUGAUACACAACAGAGUUUUAUUUAUUGCCCCAACAAAUAUUCUGUAGAGUUCAAGCUGCUGCUUCAGCUGCAGAAGUGACCUUCUUCAGAACAAAAACAGGAUCCCCAAGAUUAAGCACCUUUCCGUUUCCUUCAGUAAGGUUAUCCUUGCACACCAUGUUCUGCCCAAAGUAUAUCUGCAAGAUAAUAUGUUUCCAUUUGUUAUGCUUUUAUCAUCAAAUGCCAGACUUAUAAAUCUUGGAUUAAAAAUUCACCUUUCCCCGCUGUUUUCGACCUGGACGCAAAACUUUAUCUGAUCUAAUCUGCUUUAGAGUCUCAUUUGGUUCAGGACCGGCAUCGCCAGUGUCUUGAUUGAUUGUUGGAAUCUGGAAAACAAUCUCUGCAAUGUUAAAAACAUAACAAAUGGAGGCAUAGCUUCGAAUAUUUCUUACCAAAUGUAUAACAGUACUCACCAACAAAAGUGACCAACAAAAUGAUUGAAUGGAAAUUUAGAACAAAAGAUGCAGAAAUGAAGAAAGAUAGCCUUUUACCUUACAGCGGGAGCACAGCUUAACACCUUGAAACGUGAACUUGUUUAUUCGGACCUCGGUCCAUGUGUCCUCAGAAAACGGUUCACAACCAUCAACAAGGAUGCUGCCAAAUCCCAAUAUAAAUAAGAAAUCCAUACACCAAACGCAUGAGGAAAAUAAUGUGGUUAACAAAGGAGAGGGGGAAGAAAAGAACUAAUGCCGUAAAAAAUAUCAAGACAGAAACUGUCAGGAUAUGAGGCAAUAAUUAGUAUGGGUUCCUCCACAAGACCAAAACAUAAUUCCAACAAUGAACAAUGUAAAGAAGAUGCUAUUUUAUAAAAGAAAUUUGUAUGCUGUCCGAUAAUAGACAGAUAUUGCAUGAUUCUGAUUUUUGAAUUAUACUUGGGCCGAAAACGGUUAAUUGGAACAGGCUCCUUGAGAAGCUUAUUUAGUGCGUCCAAAGAUCCCUGCAAAAGAUAUUUUUAUAAGCUUACAGUUUGAGAUUUCAUGUCAUAGGAAAAAUGAUGCACAUUACAGGUUCAUAAUGGCGAAUUACCUGAGACAAUAACAUAAAUGGAUACCCAUCAGAAAACAUUGUUAUCUGUCCAGCAGCAUAUUCAGGAUCCACAGGUCUAGUUUCUGAUUCUGCACCAGCAAAUAACGCAGCCAGAUUAUCAACCACCUAACUUAGAUUGUGAAUAUAUAACACAACCUAAAUUCAUUCAGACAAAAAAUGGGUCAUGCCCAUGUGGCCCCUGUGAUACAAAUAAUUUUGCUACAGCAUUUCCUACCUAAAGCAUUCCCCUUUUAACUCUUGUUACUGGUUAGUGCAAUCAAUGCCCUAUUCUUAAGGAAGUACCAAAUCAGACCCAACCUGCAUUAUAACGGACUAGCCGACUAGAUUUCCCAAGGUAAUUCGUAAACCAAUUUGAGGCUUCAGCUCCCUCAUCCAAAGCAGAGCCAGACCACUCCCAUACGGAAACACCAUCUGCUAUAUCACAUGGUUUGCUCAUUGGAAUCUUAAGAGCCUGCAUCCCUGGAGCUCUUAUCACUGUAAGGGAAAAAGUCAAGUUAUGCUUGAAUAUCAGAUAAAAGAACAGGCAAAAACAUCCUUCAUAAACUAUCUGAGAAGAAAAAAGAAGCAUAUAAACUAAUACUAGCUCCACAAUAAGAAAUAUGAGAGAAAAAGUAUUCAGUCAGAGAUAAAUAAUAUUUUAUUAUAAAUAGAUUCAAACCAUGAAGAUCAAGCUGUAUGGGCUGUUACCAUAUCCAUUAAUACUAACUUAGUAGCAUGGCAAAAAUAAGAGACCAAUCAAGUGAUGGGUACAAAGGCUAAACACAUCUUACGAUUUUCUUGACUAAAAUACUAAGCCUCAGAGAAAAAUAAAUGAAAAUCUAGCAUCAUUUCAGGGACUAUGAGAAAAAAAACUUCAGAAUUAGAUUAACAUGAAGCAUUUCAAUUAUCUGACAGAUCAAAGGGAAUAAAAUUGUAUUCCUUUAACAUCUAGGCUUGAGCAACUAAAUUCUUUUAUGCUAUAACUUGGUAUAAUAUGUGUUUAAAAUAUUUUAUGAGAUUAUAUAACAACUGUAAUUUCAACAAGUUCCGUAGCAAAACAGAAAGCAAGGAUUACCCAUAUAUGAACUUCCGGUAGGUUCCCAUCCCUCUAAAAAUGCCUCAUUUGGCAGCUCGAUCUGGACCAGAGCAAGCUUUGGCUCGUUUCUCUGAGUGUAUGCUCUCCCUUUGUUAUUUAUUACCAUCCACUGUCUAUCCCAUCGAAAUCCUGUAUAUAGCAAACAAACAUGUAUAAAUAGAAACAAAUUAAGCUUGCAUGUCAAACCUCUAGCCUCAACUUAAUCUAAUUGUUUGGGAGCUCAGACAUCAAAAUUUAUGCAAGUCUUAUCAACAUCCACAAAGAACAGCGUGUUGCUGCUGUAGUGAUAUGAAAAGUCUUUCAACAUAUGGAGAUGUCAAAGAAAUCAAAUCAUCUCAGAGUUGCAAAAUUAUUACAAGUAAUCUAUUUUAACAACCGUAUUCAGGUUUAGAUUUUCAAUUAAUUUCCAAACCUAAUUGCAAAAUUGCUCUAGCUUAUCAACGACAGAAGGCUAAUUAAGACUCAUACAAAUAUUGCAUUGAAGAAACUGGUCAAACUUGAUAAAAUUUAAACCAAGUUAAAUCAUCUCAGAGCACUAGUAUUCAUUAUAAUUAUAUUUUAAUGCAAAAAUCAAUAGACAGUGAGAAAAAGAUUCUCUGGGUCAAAACAACAAAAUUGCAUUAAAAAAAAAAAUUAAGAAACGAAAAUACAACAAUAAUAUCAGAAUGAAACAGUUACAGUUCUUGGAUUUAAUAUACCGGUAGGAGUGAGCGGUGCCUGAGAAACAGAAAUGCCCCGACAUGAUUUAAUUGGGUAUACAAAGAUUGAAGUGACUUUGCCUGCAGCCUCCAUUUUCUCACUCGCAGUUUUUUCUUUGCUUGUCGACUCAGUUCAGGUUCAGCUACUGCUCAUGCUUUCAAUAGUUUUUGCAUGACUAAUAUGUAUAAUACGUGUUAUCAAAUCGAGGGCAAUUACGAUUUACGAAGACAAAGGAUACAAAAACAAAUUAUUUACCUUAAUUAAUUUAUCAUAUAUACAGAUGUUUUUAUUCGAUCAGCAUCUAUCAUUUUUCUUUUCGUAUAUUGUCAUUAUUCUAUGGAGAAGUCUGUUCAAAAUUUUGCACCCACGGGUCAGAUAAAUUUCAGUAGUCAGAGCACCUGACCUAAGGUUGGCCCAUCUUUUUACUUUGUUUUAUUUAUAUCUAAAGAGGUGUGCGCACAAGCUGAUAAGCAUAGGACUGUUCUUGCCACAUAUGAGAGUUGGAGGAUUUGGUUGGUGGGGGAGCCAGGCGGCGGAUUAUAUAAAGAAAAAAAAAAAAAUUUAUAAACAAUAUCGAUGUCUCUGGAAAUGGCACCUUGCUGUGGCAUAGCAAGCAACAAACCAGUUUCUUAUUCCACUAGACAAUGAUACACACACAACAGAGUUUAAUUUAUUGGCCCCAACAACAGCAUUAGCAUUACUAACAAAUAUUCAAUAGAGCUCAAGCUGCUGCCUCAGCUGCAGAAUUGACCUUCCUCAUGACAAAAACCGGAUCCCCAAGUUUAAGCACCUUUCCAUUACUAAGGUUGUCCUUCCACACCAAGUUCUGCCCAAAGUAUAUCUGCAAGAUACAAGAUAAUGCUUUUCUUUUGUUGUGCUUUUAUCAGGUGACAGAUUAUACUCGGAAGUUUUGGAUUCGAAAAUAGCUCACCUUUCCCUGCUGUUUUUGAUUUGGACGCAAAACUUUAUCUGACCUAAUUUGCCUUAGUGUUUCACUUGGUUCGGGACCAGCAACACCAGUGUCUUGAUUGAUAGUUGGCACCUGGAAAACAAUCUCUGUAUUGUUAAAAACAUGAAUACAAAUGGAGGUAUCGCUUGGAAAAUCUCUCAGUGAAUGGACCACAGUUCUCACCUAGACAAGUGACCACAGAAAUGAUAUUUAGUUGAAUGAAACGUUUUCACAAAAGAUGCAGAAAUGAAGAAAGAUAACUUUUACCUUACAGCGGUCACACAGCUUAACACCUUGAAAUGUGCAAUUGUUUAUUCGGAUGCCCAUCCAUAAGUCCUCAGAAAACGGUUCACAACCAUCAACAAGGAUGCUGCCAAAUUCCAGUAUAAAAAAGGGAUUCAUACACCAUACAAAAUGAGAAAAAUAAUGUGGGUAAUUAAAGAGGGGCGAGAAAACUAUGCCAUAAAAAAUUAUCAACAUAGUGAGACCAAUAUACAGUUUCGGGGGGGGGGGGUCAAUGUACAAUGAAAAGCAGAUGCUAUAUACAUAUAAACAAAGGAUACUUUUAGAUAAUAAACAGAUAUUGUAUGAUUCUGAUUUGUACUUUGGUCGAAAACGGUUAAUUGGAAUAGGCUCCUUGAGAAGCUUAUUAAGUGCAUCCAAAGAUCCCUGCAAAAGAUUCUUUUAUAAGCUUACGAUUUGAGGUUCUAUAACAGAGGAAAGAUGAUGUACAUUACAUGUUCAUCAUGUUGAGUUACCUGAGACAACAGCAUAAAUGGAUAACAAUCAGAAAACAUUAUUUUCUCUCCAGCAGCAUAUUUGGGAUCGACAGGUCUAGUUUCUGAUUCUGCGGUACCAAAUAAUGCAGCCAGAUUAUCAACCACCUAAACUUGGAUACUGAAAAUAUAAAACGACAUAAUUUCAUUCUACCAAAAGGAAUGGGUCAUAUGCCCUCACCAAUCCGGCCUGCAAUACAAUAUUUUUUGCUAAAGCAGUUCCCUACCAGAAGUAUUUUGCUUUUUACUCGUGCCCCUAGUUACUAGUUACUGCACCCAAUGUCUCAUUUUUAAGAAAAGCACCAAAAUCAAACCCAACCUGCAUUGUAACGAACUAGCCGACUAGGUUUCCCAAGGUAAUUUGUAAACCAAUUUGAAGCUUCAGCUCCCUCAGCCAGUGCAGAGCCACACCACUCCCAUACGGAAACACCGUCUGCUAUAUCACGGGGUUUGCUCAGUGAAAUUUUAAGAGCCUGCAUCCCUGGAGCUCUUAUUACUGUACAGGAAACAGUUGAGUCCAAUUUGAAAAUCAGAUAAAACAACAGGCAAAAAACAACUCAUGUUCUAUCUGAGAAGAAAAAAGAAGCAUAUUAAUACAAACUCCAGAAUAGGAAACAGUUGCGAUAAAUUUUUCAUUCAAAGAUAAAUAAUAUUUGAAAAUAGAUCAAUCUAUGAAGAUCAAGCUGGAUGCGCCCAAAGCACUACUAACUAUACCCAUUAAUACCAAUUUUGAAAUGAUAGAAAGGAAUCAUGGUGAAAAAAAUAGACCAAUUGAGUGACAGGUACAAAAGGUGUAACAGGAUACAGUCCUAACCACCAUGACAACUAACACUAUAUUUAUAUUUGUCCACAUCAAAUAGAACAUACUAUUUGCCCGUCUCAUUUCCUCUAAUUCAAACAAAUAUGUGAGAAUGAUCACUGAAUCUUAGAUUAUGAAUUAUGUAAGCAGCAAGAAAUGCUUUCCACUUGUGGUGAUGGAUAAACUGCAGUAAAUAGGAGAUUCAAUUCACAAACAUGAGGUAUGACAAGUCAUUAGAAAAUCCCAGAAUUCUUUAAGAUUAUAACCUCUUAUGAAUUUUUCUCAACUUAUAUACUCAAAUAUAAAGAGAUUUGAUAACCUUAGAGAGAAAAAAAGAAAAAUGAAAACCCAGCAUCUCUUUUCAGGGAACAUAAGAAAAGCUAUUAAACUCCACAUCUAGGCAUUAACAGCUAAAUUCUUUUGUGCUAUAACUAGGUACUAAUUUGGCUUACAUGAAACUAUAUAACAACUGUAAUUUCAGAAAAAUUAUGUUGCAAAAUAGAAGAACUAGAAUUACCCAUGAAUGAUCUCCCAGUGGGUUCCCAUCCUUCUAAAAAUGCCUCAUUUGGCAACUCUGUCUCAACCAGAGCAAGCUUUGGCUCGUUUCUCUGAGUAUAUGCUCUCCCGUUGUUAUUAAUUACCAUCCACUGUCUAUCCCAUCGAAAUCCUGCAUAUAGCAAACAAACAUGAACAAAAAGAUGUGAAAAAGCUUGCAUGUCAAACUGCUAACCACAACUUAAUCCAAUUGUUUAGGAGCUCAAAAUGUUAAAAGUUAUACAAGUCUAUCAACAUCCGCAAAGAACAGCAAGGUGCUGCUUUAUUGAUAUGAAAAUCAUUACACCAUAUGGAGAAGUCAGUGGAAUCGAAUCAUCUCAGAAUUGCAAAAUUAUUCAAGUAACCUUUAUUGACUACAGUAUUCAGGUUAGUUUUUCAAUUAAUUUUCGAAAUCGAAGUUGCAAAACUGCUGUGGCUUAGCAACAACAGAUGGCUAAUCAGACUUCAUUUAUGGAUAUAAUUCAUUGAAGAUAUUUGUUCAAAGAAGCACUAGCACACAUGAUUAUUUAAAACAUGAUUAAAAUUUAAAAAAUAAAAUAAAAAGGCCUCUCAAGUCAACACUGAAUCAAGAGCUGAUGGAAAGAUUUUAUUUUUCCUAAUUUAUUUAACUGAUAAUGAAACAAUAAAAUAAAGACAUUCACAGAUGCACAUAAGUUACUCCCAACAGAGUUUUAACUAAGAAAAAUGCAAGAAACUGAUAAGAGGAGCACAUAGAAUUCAUUACACUGAUAUUUUAAUCCACAAAUCAAUUAAAAGAGAGAAAAAGAUCAUCUGGGUCAAAGCGACAAACAUGCAUGAAAUAAAUAAAUAAAUUAGCAUGAAAAAAAUGUAAUAAUUGGAUUGAAUAUAAGCAUAUAACAUACCAGUAGGAGUGAGGGGUGCCUGCUGAGAGACAGAGAUGCCUCUGCAUGAUUUAAUUGGGUAUACAAAUAUUGAUUUUACUUUGGCUGCAGCCUCCAUUUUUCUCAGUAGCUCUCACUGUUUUCCUUUGCUCGAUCGUCAGCUACUGCUUAUGGUUGUUGAACUUUUGUACUGCUCAAGAAUAAGACAAAGCUCAGUGCACCCAACUUUGGCCCACUUAUCUAGAUUCCAUGUCUUUUGUUUUUAAUGGAUCUCUAGAUUCUCUGUUCAUACAACACCUAUCUCGUUCUGAUUGAUUUACUUUUCUCACACGAUAAAAAUAUGCUAAUAGAAGAGAAGGAUAAUCGUCCAAGCCUAGAGAUUGUCAUAAUUGAUGGUGUCAUUACUCACUGGGACAAAAUUGUUGACACGUUAACUUUUGAUUUUUAUUUUUUAUACAUAUAUAUAUAUAUCUAAACAAAAGAGUUUACAUGAGCCAGUUGGAUAAGAGACUAAUCAAGUUAAGCUGAUACUUAAUAUAGUCCCAAGAUGAUGACUUAAUAUAGUCCCAAGCAUCCACAAACACAUUCCAACAAAUAAUGGCAGAAUAAUUAAGGGACAAGCUGCUCUCGCUUUGUCCAAAAAUUUUCAGAGGAUAUAUUCUAUCUAAUAAGCUAAAAUUAAAAAUUUUCCCCUUGAGUUAAUUAAAUGCAUCAAAUUUAAAUUUAAAUUUAUUCUAAAAUCACACACAAAUCUCAUCUAUGUAUAAUUUAUUAGUCCAAUGAUAUAAUUUAAAUGCUUAGAAGGCAAUUAAAUCCAUUAAAAACAAGGCCUGAGAUCUAAAUAUUUGAUUAGAUUUACACAAAUAUCUAACUUAAUAUUAAAAUCCAUGAAAAUGAAAUUUAUUAUUAAAAAAAAAACCUACUCUUCAAUUUUCAAAAUUUAACUACCUUUUCUUAAGGUGUGUGUAAGGAGAAAUACUAAAAAAAAAUUAGAAAAAUAGUGAACCAAGACUAUAAAUUUUUUGUUCUUCAUAUUUUAUGUUGAUCAUUUUACCCUUAUUAGUUUGAUUUUCUGACGACCUACAAUGCGUAUGCAUGAUAGAAUAAACUCAAAUUCUCUUAUAUCCAAAAGAACGAGAGCACUUAAAAACCAUAUUUUGGGUUAAACUAUAAGAAUUUAUCCAUCUAUAUUACAAAUGCACCGUUACAAAGAGAAUCUUGGAUUAUGAUUUAUGAUGAUGAGACAAUUUAGCGGUAGAAUCUCUUUCUAACCAAACAAGUUAAUGGAACCUGAAAAUGUUUUCAUUACUCUAUAAAUUUAUCACACAACUAUGGAAAAUAAAUAUUCCAAAGGAUCGGAGAAUAUCACAAAAUCUUAUCUUACAUUAAAAGUAACGUUUCAACAAAAAGUAAAAAAUGAAAAAGAAGAAACAAAAUUGACAAACAAUGUUUUUGAGUAUAUUCUGAAAUAAAAAAAGUGAAUUGCAAUUGUUCCACUUUAAGCAUAUUCAUCCAUGGACCAGUUAAUCACAAAUGAAUCCCAUAAAAAGGAAAAAAAAAAAAAAAGAUACGUUGGCAUCAGAAAUAAAAUUAUAAAGCUUUUUCUCUUUUUCUAAAACUUUUUUUUUCAUGUUUUUUAAUCAAUCAAAAACUUUGAUACCAUGAAAAAAAAAAUCAAAAAUCAAAAUCCACCAACAAAAAUAUCAGUUUCUGUAACCAACAAGUAGAAAACAUUGGAAGUUCUAUUACUAUACCAAUUGAUCCCCAAGGCGAAUUAAUAAACUCGGUUUGGAUACGGAUGCAACUACAAUAACUGAAACCAAAAAGAUUGGCCAAAAUUUGCAGCAUUGUAUCUCUAACAACUGCCGGCAGCAUGAACCGAGGAAGCAAUGAAAUAAUUAUACAGCCAUACCUUAGGGAUUCAGUCAAUUUGGUAACACAUUAAAAGAUCUUUCUUCUUUCGAACGGGACAAUCUUCAAGUAAAAUACUCUCUAUUUUGUAUUCCGUUUGCCAUCAAUCCGAAAAAAAAAAAUCUUAGGCCUUCUAUCCAACCCAGCAACAAGCAGCAACUGAGCAUUAUGAUGGAACUGAACUGAAUUAAUAGGACCAUUUACUGUUCCUCUUGGCACUGCUUUUCAUAACAAUACGUUCAUCCGUUCUAAGCUUCAACAUCCUCGUACCAAUAGAGGCACAGAGCCACCGUUGCGUGAUUUUCUUUCAUCACCAUAAAGGCCAUCACCCCGGAAUAGGGGCCUAUUUGAUACUAAUGGAAACACUUUGCCCUUUUUUCUAAAAAUGUUAAAAAACUAAAAAUAAAAAAAUCAGGGAUCCACAUGUUAAUUAACGAAUUUUUAAAAAUUUUCAGAAUUAUAGGAAAUUUUAUUUAUUAGGAGUCAAGACCAUGUUUGGUUCUGUUACUUCUGCUAAACCACUUUCUCACGUGAGCAAAAGCUUGAAACUCCUUUUAACUGUAAUAACCACCAAAUGGCUUCCUCCGCUCAGUGUCUCACUCUCCUCCCUUCGCCGCCUCUCUCUUCCCUCCAAACCCACCAACUACCGGCAACCACCGCUACGUCUUUGCCGCUACCCGGUUCCCAAACACGGUCUAAGGAGUCGUGGAUCGAGUCCCUUCGCUCCCAAACCCGCUCCAAUCAAUUCCGUGAAGCCAUUUUGUCCUACAUUGAGAUGACUCGUUCGGAUAUUCAACCCGACAACUUUGCUUUCCCAUCCGUCUUGAAGGCCGUGGCGGGCAUCCAGGACUUGAGCUUAGGGAAGCAGAUUCAUGCCCACGUUGUCAAGUACGGGUACGGGUUAUCUUCAGUGACGGUAGCCAAUACCCUUGUAAAUAUGUAUGGUAAAUGUGGUAGUGAUAUGUGGGAUGUGUAUAAGGUGUUUGAUAGAAUUACUGAGAAGGACCAAGUUUCUUGGAAUUCAAUGAUUGCUACUUUGUGCCGUUUUGGGAAAUGGGAUCUAGCAUUGGAAGCGUUUAGAAUGAUGUUAUAUAGCAACGUGGAGCCUAGUUCGUUUACCUUGGUCAGUGUGGCUCUUGCUUGUUCAAAUUUGAGUAGGCGUGACGGUUUGAGGCUUGGGAGGCAAGUACACGGGAAUAGUUUACGCGUAGGUGAAUGGAAUACGUUUAUUAUGAAUGCUUUGAUGGCAAUGUAUGCCAAAUUAGGUAGAGUUGAUGAUGCAAAAACUUUAUUUAAGUCAUUUGAGGAUCGUGAUUUGGUGUCAUGGAACACCAUCGUCAGUUCAUUAUCUCAAAAUGAUAAGUUCUUAGAAGCAGUGAUGUUCUUACGCCAGAUGGCACUUAGAGGAAUUAAACCUGAUGGGGUCUCAAUCGCGAGCGUGCUUCCUGCUUGCUCACACUUGGAGAUGUUAGAUACUGGCAAGGAAAUUCAUGCAUAUGCAUUGAGAAAUGAUAUUUUGAUUGACAACUCCUUUGUGGGUAGUGCUUUGGUUGACAUGUACUGUAAUUGCAGAGAGGUUGAAUGUGGUCGUCGAGUUUUUGAUUUUAUUUCAGAUAAGAAAAUUGCACUUUGGAAUGCUAUGAUUACUGGUUAUGGACAAAAUGAGUAUGAUGAGGAGGCAUUGAUGCUAUUCAUUAAAAUGGAAGAAGUUGCAGGGCUUUGGCCAAAUGCCACCACAAUGUCAAGUGUUGUGCCUGCUUGCGUGCGCAGUGAAGCAUUCCCCGACAAAGAAGGAAUCCAUGGACAUGCUAUAAAGCUAGGUCUGGGGAGGGACAGGUAUGUGCAAAAUGCACUCAUGGACAUGUACUCUAGAAUGGGGAGGAUAGAGAUUUCAAAAACCAUUUUUGAUGACAUGGAGGUUAGAGAUACAGUUUCUUGGAACACAAUGAUCACUGGUUACACUAUUUGCGGUCAGCAUGGUGAUGCACUUAUGCUGCUGCGUGAGAUGCAAAACAUGGAAGAGGACAAGAAUAGGAACAAUGUUUAUGAUCUGGACGAGACAGUACUUCGUCCGAAACCAAAUUCCAUAACCCUCAUGACUGUCCUACCUGGCUGUGGCGCCCUGUCAGCUUUAGCAAAAGGGAAAGAGAUCCAUGCUUAUGCCAUUAGAAACAUGUUAGCUACCGAUGUUGUUGUAGGAAGUGCAUUAGUUGACAUGUAUGCUAAAUGUGGUUGCUUGAACUUUGCGAGAAGAGUUUUUGAUCUGAUGCCUGUCAGAAAUGUGAUCACCUGGAAUGUUAUUAUCAUGGCUUAUGGGAUGCACGGAGAAGGACAAGAAGUCUUAGAAUUGUUAAAGAAUAUGGUGGCAGAAGGAAGUAGGGGAGGAGAAGUGAAGCCUAAUGAAGUCACUUUUAUUGCAUUAUUUGCAGCAUGUAGCCAUUCAGGGAUGGUAAGUGAAGGUAUGGACUUGUUCUACAAAAUGAAAGAUGAUUAUGGGAUUGAACCUUCGCCAGAUCACUAUGCUUGUGUUGUGGAUUUGCUUGGUAGAGCAGGUAAAGUGGAGGAUGCAUAUCAACUUAUAAAUAUGAUGCCUCCUGAAUUUGACAAAGCUGGUGCUUGGAGUAGCUUGCUUGGUGCCUGUAGGAUUCACCAAAAUGUAGAAAUUGGGGAAAUUGCAGCUCAAAAUCUCUUCCUCUUGGAACCUGAUGUGGCAAGCCACUAUGUUCUGCUCUCAAACAUUUACUCUUCUGCUCAACUCUGGGACAAGGCAAUGGAUGUCCGGAAGAAGAUGAAGGAAAUGGGAGUAAGAAAAGAACCAGGUUGCAGUUGGAUCGAGUUUGGUGAUGAGAUUCAUAAGUUUUUAGCUGGGGAUGGAUCACAUCAACAAAGUGAGCAGCUCCAUGGUUUCCUCGAAAACUUGUCUGAAAGAAUGAGAAAGGAGGGCUAUGUGCCUGAUACUUCUUGUGUUCUUCACAAUGUAAAUGAGGAGGAGAAAGAAACAUUACUCUGUGGACACAGUGAGAAGUUGGCGAUAGCUUUUGGUAUCCUCAAUACCCCUCCUGGAACUACCAUCAGAGUUGCCAAAAACCUCAGAGUUUGCAACGACUGCCAUCAGGCUACUAAGUUCAUCUCAAAGAUAGAAAGUAGAGAAAUUAUCCUAAGAGAUGUGAGGAGGUUCCAUCAUUUUAAAAAUGGAACUUGUUCUUGUGGAGAUUAUUGGUAAAAAAAAGAAAAAAAGAAAAAGAAAAAGAAAAGUGAUUGAUUUUUGUUGUUAAUGCAAGAAGCAACAAGUAUUGUUGAGACUCAAGUGCCACUAUUAAAUUAUAUACGUUCAAUUCCAAAGUUGUAUCACAGAAAUGUACCAAACAUGAAUUUCUUGUAGUUUCAACAUUCUUUUGAAGCUUUUUGAAGCGUUGAUGUAAAAAGAGGAAAGGAAAAUGACAAUUGUGUAGUUGUCUAAUUCCUUUUGCUGCCUCGAAAGUCGAUAAUUCUUUUGAUUUCAUACAUUAUUUUUUCUUUUCCGAUAACACAUGUUUAUCUCUCAUUUUUUAAGUAGAAGGCAGCAGCUUAUGCUUUAGGGCUUCAACUGCCAGAAUGUUAUGGCAACAAAAUUAACCAAUUCGCUGAGCAUCUCCCUAAUAUGCUGGCCACUUUUGAGUGUUAAUAGGCACGAACUAGUCCAUAACAUAAAACCAACAAAUACUUCAAUUUCCAUUCAAGAAGGAAACUCUACUCAGUAUCAGUAACUGGGCACAAAAUGGAAAAUCUCACAAAAAACGGAUAAGUUUUUAUAUUCCACAAGCUAAAACAAAGGUACCAAAACCAGUUGCAUUUCUUCUUUCAAAUCAUUAAUGAUCCAAUUCCCAGGUAAUUCAGAGGUAGAAUAUCUACUUGCUGCGCUUGGCUGCACGCUUCCCUUGGCCUUUCUUGGGAGGUCCCUUUCCACGACGUUUCAACAUUUCAAGCUUGGAUAAGCGCCUGCCAAGGUAAAUCAAUAGAAUGUAUCACACUUACCAAAAACCAGCAUGCAUAACUAUAAUUGUUAUAGCUAAAAAGAAUCAUAUUCAACAAGCAAGCAGUUCUUACAAUAAAAGAAAAAAAUCGAAGCACAGAAGUCAUGGGAACCAUUAGCAGAAUAUCAUGUUGCAAUUGCUAGCAAAUAGCACCAUGCAAACAAACAAAGAGCAAAUAUUUAAUGGGUAUGAGAGAUUACUCUUGUUGUUGGCGGGCCAUGACGAGAGGAUCAUCUUUCUUGAUGUCAUAUGGGUACCAUCCAGCAACCUUGUCACCGAUGAGCUUCUUCCGCAAAAUCUUGUGGGGUGAUCUCUGGCCAGCGGGGUUAAGUACAUGCCCAAAUAUCUUGGCCCUCGCCUCAGUCAGCCCUGUGGUCACUACUGUGGCCAAAAUGUUCUUAAGCCUCCCUCCUGUAGCCAUCGUCACUCGCCAACUCUACCUGACACAACAACAAACAUAAGGCGUACACAACAGUUGAUGCCCGUUGAGGCAUUUUAUCAAACAGUUGAUGGUGCGGGGAUAAAUUGGUGAGCAUUCUUAUCAGCGAAACGUAAUAGUUAUUGUAAACAUUAAAAGAUAAAAAUACUAAGCUUGCGUUACAUAAAUAAAGAUUUAUUCGUUUUGUUUGUGUUUCUAAAAUAUGAAAACAAGAGCAAAUGAAAAUCACUAGAGAGACUCAGAGAGCGCGCGGAGGAAGGGUUGGCAAAAUCCAGAUUCGGAUCCGGGUGUAUGUGCAUUCAGAUCCGGAUCCGGAGUGCCAUUAUCAUAUCUUGAUGCGGGUAAAAUCCGCACCGAAUCCGGACGGAUAUUCCGCAUAUCCGGAUCCGCAAAACAUAAAAUUAAAUAAUUAAAAAUAUAAUUAAAAAACUCAACAAUUUAAUUAAUAAUAUAAAUAAAAUUCAAUUAUAAUCCAACGAUUAACAAAUUUCCAGUAGAUUACACUUAUAACUCAUUAAAUAAUAAAUACAACAAAAAAAUUAACACAAUACCAAGUUAUUAACCAGAAAAAAAUUCAAUCAACAAUAAAAUUAAAUUAAACCAGCAAUAUUUUCAAGUUUAAACCAUUUACAUUAAAUUAAAGUUGUUAAAUACAAUUAAAUAAUUAAUCACAAUACCAAAUUAUUAACCCAAAAAAAAGCCAUGUAUUUAAUAAAAAAAUAGAAAAGUAAAUGAAAUAAGGGAGCAAAAUCAAUACGGGCAAAUUAAUUUCUUGGACGAGCACGGCGGCGUCACAGCAAGCCUUCGACGACCACCGCGAGGCUUGGACGGCGAAGCUUCAAUGACAGAUCGGGGGGGCGAGCUUCGGCAGAUCGGGCGUGGGCCGCGCGGCUUCAGCGAGCUGGGAGGAAGACGCCUCACGGCGAGUCGGCCACUGGUCGGAAGCAAGACUUACGGCUGCUGGUGAGGUGUGGGUGUGGGAAAGUUGAAUGAAGGUAGAGAGGCAGCAAGAGCCAAGAGCCAAGAGCCAAGACCCAAGACCCAAGAGAGACUGUCAAUAGAAACGAAAACGAUUAAGUUUAGGGAUUAGACUUUUUUUUUUAUUCAAGUUAUAUAUAUUUUUUAUUUAAAAAACCGGAUCCGGAUAUCCGGUUUUCCUGAUGCAAGUGCAUCUGGAUCCGCCUCCGGAUCCGUGUGGAUUUGAGUUUUUCAUAUCCGGAUCCGGAUUUUCCGGAUCCUUGCGGAUGCAGGCCGGACCCGGAUUUUACUGCCAUCCCAACGCGGAGGAAAGAAUGUGCCUGAUUAGCUCGCUUUCGGUCAUCCGAUGCAAAAGAGUUUAGCGCGGAAGAGCAGCUCUUAGUUGAAAUUUUGCAAAUAGAUAUUUUAAUUAAACAUUUUAUUCUGCUUAUUAUUAUUAUUAUUAUUAUUAUUAUUAUUAUUAUUAUUAUUAUUAUUAUUAUUAUUAUUAUUAUUAUUAUUAUUAUUAUUAUUAUUAUUAUUAUUAUUAUUAUUAUUAUUAUUAUUAUUAUUAUUAUUAUUAUUAUUAUUAUUAUUAUUAUUAUUAUUAUUAUUAUUAUUAUUAUUAUUAUUAUUAUUAAUAAUAAUAAAAAUAUAUAAUAAAUAGUAAAAUUGUUAAUUGUCCUUUCAUAUUCAUGCCAUCAGAGUUUGUUAAAAAAAAAAAUUGCUUGAUAUUGUUAAAAAUUAAAUGCAUUGGUGUGAAAAUGAAUAUAUAACAAAAAAAAGUCUCAUCCAUUUGUAAUCGUUAUGAUAAUAAAUUUUGUACCAAACCUAUACAAAUUUCUUAUCUCCAUAUUUGUUUACAAAUUGCAAAACACAAAUAGCCUUAAAUGUUAGCUGAAUUUAAAAAAAAAAAAUCAAAAAAUAACUAUAAAAAUAGCCCUCUCAAAAACUAUUUGUAUUAAGCAAUUUAGCCAACAGCUAUUAUCUUGUUCAGCAUUGAAUAUCCAAUGUCGGGUCAGUUAUUACAUAGAUACAAAUUGUGUGCCGAGCAUUAUUCUUAUAAUUUAUAUGACUAACAAAAAAAAAUUAGGAGAAAGAGACAGACACAUAAAAGAGAUUAAAAAAAAAAAAGAGAAAACUAAUUCUGUCAACUAAAUUACAACCGAGGUCUUCACAAACAGGAAAUAGCUUAACACAAUGAUCGUUUUAUUACAUUAGCUAUGUAACAAAACUGUUUCAGAUCCUGCAAACUCAAGAUCAUCAUGGUUAAAACAGUAUCCGAUCUUGAUAAAUGUCCAAUGCCUUGGUAACCUUAUCGAUGAAUAAUUUCCGGUGCAAUCUAUACCUGCAUUAUUUCAGAUUUUCAAGAAACGAAUCACUAAAAAUUGCUUUUGAUUUGCAGUUCAACUAGAAGCAAAAAAGUUCUCAAAAGGACUAAACUACAUACUUGAUUGCGGCUUCAAGGGUCCUCCUAGGUUCUUUCAUAGAAUCUGUGAGUUGGUAAAAAGAUGAAAAAAAAUAAACAUAAGCACUGAAUAACAAUUAUAUUUCUAUUGGAACAAAAGUAAAUAUGCUUAUAAUAAGAGUAUCAAGCGGUUAAAGUCUAGGAAGGAGUUAAAUAUGAAUAGCAACUUUACCCAGCAUUUUCUGAUCUUGUUUAGAAGUGGUAGGGAACUCUGCUAGCAUCUGUCGGCAUUCUUCCUGUAAUUCCUUCACAGCUUUUCUUUCUAUGCUUGGAACCAGGGGCACAUCCCCGUCUGACCAAGUGGGCAGUGUUCUUGCUGCUGCUAUGACUGCUCCAUCGAUGAAACUUUCUUCGUCACUUGAUAUUUUACCUAUUAUCAAUUUUAUGCAGAUCUUACAGUGAUGCUAGAAUCGAAUUGCUAGAUAGUAAUAUACAGCUUUUUGUGAAAAGGAAAUCAAAGAACUAUGCAGAACACGUACUAUUAUGGUAAUAUUCUUCAGGAAGACCGGAUAUAUUGAAAACUGACAAGAAAGAAUCCAAAUGUAUGCGGGCAUCGCCAGAAAACUGAAUUACAUUCCAAGGAUUCUGCAGUUUAACAAGCGAGACAUACGUGUGUGUUAAUAUUGAAGAGAAGUGAUCAUUUAAGAAAUCAAAUUUAAAAAGCACUAAAAGUAAUCAAGAUUAAAUACUUUUAGAAGAGUCUUUUGAGAGAAUAAACAAUACAUUACUCUCUUAGUGCAACCAGAACCACAUAAUCUAAAACAGGAAUCCGUUACUGAUGAGCAAAUUGAGAGAAAAUUACCACUGGUGACGAAAAACCAUAUCUUUGCAUAAGCAUGUCGUUCAUCUGCCCAUGCAUAUAAUUGACAGUCAUCUGUAAAAAUUUUACAAGAUCAAUGAGGAACUAAUGCAAUAUGUCAAUUUAUGUAAAAAGGGUUAUUUGAGAACAAGAAAAAGAGUAAUAAAAUAAGAUAAGAGAAUCAGAAUGGGACAAACUCUAAAUAGUCAACAUUAAUUUCGUGGGAUGCAGUAUAGACCCAGGAACUGUGGAAGCUUUUGCAACUACUUUACUGAUAGUACUCAAGUGAUUUAGGCCAACAAUGGGGGCAAUAACACUCAUCAUAGAACUUAGAAAGCUUGUGAAUGCUGGAAGCCAAUCCUCUAGGCUUCUCAUAUGCAAUGGUGUCACUAAAAGACUUAUUUUGAAGUCAUGAAGAAAGAAUUGUUCACAGGACAAAGCUUAAAUGACUACCAAUUUUCAACAUAAGGCAGAUCCCUUGAUGAUAUGAACAGAUUAGUGUUUGCUGUAGUUGGAAAAAUGUACAUGCAGUUUGGUUUUCAGUUAGAAAGCAACAUAUUGGUCCUAUAAUGGUUGACAUGGGGUUUUAUAACUGCAGUGCUCCAAUUUCUAUUGCUAUUCUGUUUCGACUAUAACUGAAAAAGUUCACUAAAAUAAACUGGUUUUGGCCAUCAUGCAUCAGAAUAUAUCAUAAUUUAGCAUAUUGCUAAAUAUCUUAAAUCAUUUCUACAUCCACUAAACACUUGCUCGACAAACAAUGUUUCACUCAGUUUUGUCUCUGCCAUCAGUGCUCUGUGCACAUUUCUACAUAUAGAUAUAUAUAUUCAAACUAAUUUAAGGCAUAUGUAAACAUCAAACUCUAGAAUAUAUUACCUCUUCUCCCCUUCUAACGUGUUGUCCAGCAUUUACCAUCACCUCAAGCAUGCGAUCCUUAAAACGCCAAUGGAAAAAGCAAUUUGGCUGAAACGAAUGGUUUAGCAUGUCUGCGAAAUAAGAUUGAAGUUACAAAACAGGAACAUAUUAAUAAAUAGCCAAAGCAACUACAAUUAAGCAAAUGUGGCUAAUGAAAAGCAGAUGAAUAGGAAUGAAAUAACAUUACAUCCAAGACAACUAAUAAGUAAACAAAAUGGUGAAUAAAUUGAGAACAAAUAUAGGAUAGACAUAUAAAGAACAUGGCAAUGGUUGGAAUCUAGAAAAGAGAGAACAACCAAAGAUUAACAGAUAAAAAUAAAAAAAGAGAAGGUGUCAUCACAUAACAUCUAUGCAAUUGUUUUCAAUCUACUUGCCAUUAACAUUUAUGAAUGAAAAACUUCAUGUUCUUCUUGUUAAUUAAAGCUUACAUAGAAUACUUCCUGUCAAGUACAACAUACAAGUGAGAAUUUUUUUAAUGAAGUUAAACAUCAGAUGAUAUACAGCAAUCCUGUAUGCAUUUCUCUACAUUAUAUCAUAAAUAUGAUGACAAGCUAUCAACUAAUAUAAGUAGAAGAAUGUGACGACAAAUGUUUACCAGCAUAAGGGAUUAGCAUGUUUGCAUCUUGUACCAAAGCACCAAUCCUCACUUGCAUGUUAAUGCACCGUGACUGGGCAAUACUUACUGCCCAAAUAAAUCUUUCAGGAUCAUGAGCAAGACGCUUUAUCUUGAGGGGAACACCUGAGUGCUGAGCGACAUUAAAAAAGACAAGCAGCUCCAUCAAUUAAAGGGUAGAUAAAAGUUGUGAGAUAAUAAGAACAUUUUAUACUGUGCAACAUCUAAUUUCUUGGUACCCAGUUUUUUUCCCAGAAUUCUCGGGCUCUUUUUUGUUGUUCUCUCAUAGUUGAAGCAAGAUUUGGGUCCUGCAGCUCCAUAAGGUCCUCCUACAAGACACAUAGAACAAUGAGGAAGAGGAAAAAUGUUAAUUUUGCUUCACAGAGCUGUAGAGAAAAGAGUUGUAAAGAUAACAAGUUGAUUAGUGACAAAGGAUUAUCUAACAGACACUUAGAAUGAAAGCAAGUUCAGAUAAGAAAUAAAUAACAUUAAUGUUAGAAUGACACAGAAAAUAACUUUAAGUGGUAAGGCUUGGGUUUUCCACAGCCGAUGAUCUCAUUCAACUUCUUGUUCUUCUUCUUUUGGAGAAAAAAGUUAAGUAGAUUGUAUAUACAAAACAAGAUCUACAAAAGGUGAACGAGAUGUCCACUAACCCCAAAACCACCUUAAGAAUUUACAAUGAUCUCAUUCAACUUGAAGAUAGAUUAUUUAUUUCAAACAUAUAAUCUGCCCAUAAGCAUGUCAAAGUUAAAGAACUAAUUUCAAAAAGUUAAUAUGUUUGUAUAUGUAGUCAUUCAGUCAUGUUUUCCUCUCCUGCAAUUUAGCAAAGAAAGCAUAAUGAAUUAAUGAAAUGUCAUAAGGCAAACAAAUAAAUGUUUUCAUUAUGUUAAAUCCUCAAGACUCAUACUUUCAUUUUUUUUAAUAAAAUAAAAAUAAAAAUGGAGAAAUCAGUCGGCUAACAUUUGGAUGUCUUGUGAGAGAUGGAGAUACUAAACAUUAAGAACCUUUCAAUCAACAGCUGGCUAGUAGAAUCUUAUAUGAGAUCAUUAUCUUCAUGGGCCUGAGACAUUAGAAGACAAGUUAUGUGCACAUAAAUAUUUGACACAUGAGCCUUGAGGUUCAUCCCAAGGCAUUUCCCUCAUCCUUGAUCAAGGUAGGACUCUAAGCGGAAGACAUAAGCGCAUAUGCAUUACGAAAAUGUCAGUAUAUAAUACAAGGAAUGUCCCAUAUAUGUCUAGAUUACAAACUUUAGAGUUAAUUGCAUGAAAUAAUCAGUAAUAUCACUGGAAGAACACAAGUCACAAUCUAUAUGCAUAUAUGGUUUCCCAUUCUGUGGAUCACGCACCUCUGUCGCAAGAAGCAAGCUAGUACACUCAUCUGCAUUAGGUAAGAAGUCACCAUAUAAUUGCCAAAAAUUAUCGUCCUGAUCAAAUGCAUAUAAAAGAAGGCAUGCCAAUCUAAGGUCCCAAUCUGUCUGCCAAUAGAGAAAUCUAUCAUAAUUACACAUUUGGAUAUAAAAAAAGAUAUUGAACUCAGCUCUUAAGAUUCCAUUAUCAACAGAAUAUAUAGUAAUGGAAUACACAAAAAGAGAGAAAUUAAAAAAAAAAGAAAAAGAUAUGCCAAUGCAAUGGUGAAGAUUCAAUAAUUGAAAAUAAGAUCAAGAGCUAAUCUCUGAUAUUUAGAAGAAACUAAGUUACCU